AGAGAAGGAAUGUCCAAAGACGUGGUAGCAUCUUGGAGGCUGGUCUUCAUCCUGCUUGGCUUGAAGUUCCCAGGCUCGGAGUCAGUGAAAGGGUGCCUGCUAGCUGCUAAUCUCAGCUCCAGAGGACCCCAGUUAAUGCUGCUUCCCUGGCUCACCUCCUGACAUCCAGGAACUCAGGUAAGUUUAUCAGAUGGACCGGGUGGUACCAACCUGG
rnacentral:lncRNA from 1 species